GACGAACGCUGGCGGCGUGCCUAAUACAUGCAAGUUGAGCGCUGAAGGUUGGUACUUGUACCGACUGGAUGAGCAGCGAACGGGUGAGUAACGCGUGGGGAAUCUGCCUUUGAGCGGGGGACAACAUUUGGAAACGAAUGCUAAUACCGCAUAAAAACUUUAAACACAAGUUUUAAGUUUGAAAGAUGCAAUUGCAUCACUCAAAGAUGAUCCCGCGUUGUAUUAGCUAGUUGGUGAGGUAAAGGCUCACCAAGGCGAUGAUACAUAGCCGACCUGAGAGGGUGAUCGGCCACAUUGGGACUGAGACACGGCCCAAACUCCUACGGGAGGCAGCAGUAGGGAAUCUUCGGCAAUGGACGAAAGUCUGACCGAGCAACGCCGCGUGAGUGAAGAAGGUUUUCGGAUCGUAAAACUCUGUUGGUAGAGAAGAAGGUUGGUGAGAGUGGAAAGCUCAUCAAGUGACGGUAACUACCCAGAAAGGGACGGCUAACUACGUG
rnacentral:rRNA from 1 species